rnacentral:misc_RNA from 1 species
AAAGUCGUAACAAGGUAACCGUAGGUGAACCUGCGGUUGGAUCAUUACUGAAAAAUGCUUGUUUGAGUCUGGUCACAUCUAGUGUCUGCACUCUGUGGAUACUAGAGUGACAACUCUUACAUACCUCAUGUGCACUGUGUUGUCUCUGGUGGUGGGGUGUGGACAGCGUGGGCGGGGCGCUCCAUGAGCGUUGUGCCCACUUUGCUAUCUGUACCUGUCAGCCUGGGUGUCUUUCAAGGUUUCCCUUGCCGUGGACAAGCCGCCAAACAUAUGUUCUAAACAUUUUGCUCUAUAUUUAUGGUCUGAUAUUACUUUUUCUUAAAAAAGAAACAACUUUUGACAAUGGAUCUCUAGGCUCUC